GACGAGUGCCAACUUCUUUUACAAGUAUUUGCACAUGUUUUUAGUAAUCGUUCUUGUUUUGGGAAAAUAAUGAGACAUCUCUAAUCAUCAACCUACGACCAAAUCAUUACUUAAAACAACAAUUACGUUAAGAUUGAGGUAAACAUUGAUAUUAUGUGAACAAAACAAAGAUUUUCGUUACCGUGUGAGGUCAAAAUCGAUCACGCCCGCU
rnacentral:lncRNA from 1 species